rnacentral:tRNA from 7 species
GGGUUUGUAGCUCAGGUGGUUAGAGCGCACGCCUGAUAAGCGUGAGGUCGGAAGUUCAAGUCUUCCCAGACCCACCA